rnacentral:rRNA from 1 species
AGAGUUUGAUCCUGGCUCAGGAUGAACGCUGGCGGCGUGCCUAACACAUGCAAGUCGAACGAAGCACUUACUUCCAAAUCUUCGGAAGAGGAGGUACUUGACUGAGUGGCGGACGGGUGAGUAACGCGUGGGGAACCUGCCCCGUACCGGGGGAUAACAGUCAGAAAUGACUGCUAAUACCGCAUAAGCGCACGAAGGCGCAUGCUUUUGUGUGAAAAACUCCGGUGGUACGGGAUGGUCCCGCGUCUGAUUAGCCAGUUGGCGGGGUAACGGCCCACCAAAGCGACGAUCAGUAGCCGGCCUGAGAGGGUGGACGGCCACAUUGGGACUGAGACACGGCCCAGACUCCUACGGGAGGCAGCAGUGGGGAAUAUUGCACAAUGGGGGAAACCCUGAUGCAGCGACGCCGCGUGAGCGAAGAAGUAUUUCGGUAUGUAAAGCUCUGUCAGCAGGGAAGAAAAUGACGGUACCUGACCAAGAAGCACCGGCUAAAUACGUGCCAGCAGCCGCGGU